UAUUGGAGGGCAAGUCUGGUGCCAGCAGCCGCGGUAAUUCCAGCUCCAAUAGCGUAUAUUAAAGUUGUUGCGGUUAAAAAGCUCGUAGUUGGAUCUCAGUUCCAGACUGGCGGUACACCGUUAGGUGGUAACUGCUUGGCCUGAACAUUCUGCUGGAUGUCCCUAGGUGCUCUUAAACAAGUGUCUAGGGUGGCCAGCACUUUUACUUUGAAAAAAUUAGAGUGCUCAAAGCAGGCUUAGUGCCUGAAUAAUGGUGCAUGGAAUAAUGGAAUAGGAUCUCGGUUCUAUUUUGUUGGUUUUCGGAACACGAGAUAAUGAUUAAGAGGGACAGACGGGGGCAUUCGUAUUGCGACGCUAGAGGUGAAAUUCUUGGACCGUCGCAAGACGAACUACUGCGAAAGCAUUUGCCAAGAAUGUCUUCGUUAAUCAAGAACGAAAGUUAGAGGUUCGAAGGCGAUCAGAUACCGCCCUAGUUCUAACCAUAAACGAUGCCAACCAGCGAUCCGCCUGAGUUCUUCCAAUGACUCGGCGGGCAGCUUCCGGGAAACCAAAGUGUUUGGGUUCCGGGGGAAGUAUGGUUGCAAAGCUGAAACUUAAAGGAAUUGACGGAAGGGCACCACCAGGAGUGGAGCCUGCGGCUUAAUUUGACUCAACACGGGAAAACUUACCCGGCCCGGACACCGGAAGGAUUGACAGAUUGAGAGCUCUUUCUUGAUUCGGUGGGUGGUGGUGCAUGGCCGUUCUUAGUUGGUGGAGCGAUUUGUCUGGUUAAUUCCGAUAACGAACGAGACUCUAGCCUACUAAAUAGUCGACUGAUCAACUUAGUCAGUCGCUCUUCUUAGAGGGACAAGCGGCUUUUAGCCGCACGAGACAGAGCAAUAACAGGUCUGUGAUGCCCUUCGAUGCCCGGGGCCGCACGCGCGCUACACUGAAGGAAUCAGCGUGCAUUUAUCCCUGUCCGGCAGGACUGGGUAACCCGAUGAGUCUCCUUCGUGAUAGGGAUAGGGGCUUGUAAUUAUUCCCCUUGAACGAGGAAUUCCCAGUAAGCGCGAGUCAUAAGCUCGUGUUGAUUACGUCCCUGCCCUUUGUACACACCGCCCGUCGCUACUACCGAUUGAAUGAUUUAGUGAGGUCUUCGGACCGUUGCCCGGGGCGAUGUCAUGUCGCACCGGUGUGAUGGAAAGAUGAUCAAACUUGAUCAUUUAGAGGAAGUA
rnacentral:rRNA from 1 species